AUACUUACCUGGACAGGGUCGAUAGGUGAUCAUCAUGGCCGAUGGCCUAGGUAAGUGACUUCUAUUGCACUUGGGAAGGGCGCUUGCCUAAGGUCUCCUCAAAGUAGGAGAGCCUACGUCAUACUUUGUGGCACUUGGGAAUUCUGCCUCAGCCAGAUUUAAU
rfam:Gossypium hirsutum cultivar TM-1 unplaced genomic scaffold scaffold190.1, whole genome shotgun sequence